rnacentral:rRNA from 1 species
GACAGAGGUGCCGAGCGUUAGGCGGAAUCACUGGGCUUAAAGCGUGUGUAGGCGGGCGUGCAAGUACCUUGUGAAAUCCCACGGCUCAACCGUGGAACGGCUGGGUAUACUGCUUGCCUUGAGCCAACUAGGGGCGAGCGGAACAAGUGGUGGAGCGGUGAAAUGCGUAGAUAUCACUUGGAACGCCGAAGGUGAAAACAGCUCGCUGGGGUUGUGCUGACGCUGAGACACGAAAGCCAGGGGAGCGAACGGG